CUUCAGUGACUUGUUGUGGACAGAUGUAAUGAACGUGCACGUCGACGGCUCCGGCUGUUACGAUUAGUUUUUCUCCAGCUAUAACCUCGGUGGAUGACCCGACGACGAGGUUCUCGCCAACAGAGUCCAUCGCAUCUGGAUUACCAGCUUUCCCGAUCCCAACGAUGAUUCCGCCCCUGACACCGAUGUCCGCCUAGAAAGUGAUGAGCUACCUUUCAAUACGAGCUCAAGACGGCUUCACCUUGUAUAUACCGGUCCAAUCAACGAUCACGGCGUUUGUGAUAACGAGAUCGAGGGACUCCGUAGAGCUCACUCCGGAUGCCUGACCCAUGCCAUCCCGGAU
rnacentral:sRNA from 1 species